rnacentral:rRNA from 1 species
AAUCAACGCUGGCGGCGUGCCUCAGACAUGCAAGUCGAACGCGAAAGUCCCCUUCGGGGGACAAGUAGAGUGGCGCACGGGUGAGUAACACGUAGGUAAUCUACCUUCGGAUGGGGAAUAACAACCGGAAACGGUUGCUAAUACCGCAUAAUGCAGCGGCACCUAAUGGUGACAGUUGUUAAAGCGGGGGAUCGAAAGACCUCGCGUCUGAAGAGGAGCCUGCGGCGGAUUAGCUAGNGGUAAGGUAAUGGCUUACCAAGGCGACGAUCCGUAGCCGGCCUGAGAGGGCGGUCGGCCACACUGACACUGACAUACGGGUCAGACUCCUACGGGAGGCAGCAGUCGGGAAUUUUGGGCAAUGGGCGAAAGCCUGACCCAGCAACGCCG